rnacentral:tRNA from 1 species
GCGCCUGUAGCUCAACUGGAUAGAGUAUCAGACUACGAAUCUGAGGGUUACAGGUUCGACUCCUGUCAGGCGCGCCA